AAAAAGGAAAAAAAAAAAAAAAACGAAGCAAGGCAAAACAAAACAAUCCCUUCAACAACAGGUCGGCCUGCUGAGAAACGCGGUCGGAAAGCCGCUGCUCUCCAACGCCGGGCGGAGCGCUCGGUGCGCCGCGCCUGGACGCGGCACAGCCCCCGGACGGGCGCACACGGCCCCCUCCGAGAGCAGCUCCCAAAGCCCCUUGGCUAAAGCCGGCCCCAGGCAUCAUCUCUCCGCCCGGGCGCUCCAACCUGCCGGCAAGAUGUUCCCUUCGCCUCCGCUCUAAGCUGAUGUCUCGCCACGGCCGCGCUGCUGGGAGAUCCGGACGGCAGCAUUCAGGCACCGGGCGGCAGCUACCGCUCUGCUCACUUUGAAACGCCCUAGAACGAGCAAGGAGACGCACACGGCGAAUGACACUCAUCGCAAACUGUAAUUUCACCCGGCAAGAACUGCUCUAGAUUAACUACAAAUCAAACGGGAAAUUCUUCCUCGCCUAGUUAAGGCUUCAGUUAAAACGCACUACACUCUAACAUGCAAAAUGUAAGGGCUGCCCCAUAGAGCUGGUAAAAGAAAGAAACCCAUUUUCGCCUUCCUGCACCUCCAUCAAGCAUCCCCAUGUUCCUCUUUGGGAAGUAACACAAGUGCAAGCACACGGCAGGGAAAGAACGACUUCAAGACGAGUACCACUGAGUGCCAUACGUUCACUGUGUUUGGAGCUGCCUGAUGGACAGCAUGAAUGUAGCCUUUGCACACUUCCUCACGUGCAGAAGUGUUUGUGGGGCUUUCACAGCCGCCUGAUAGGGGGACCCAAGAAGCAUUUUUGGGAUGGCUCCAUACGCCGGGGGGAAGGCUAUCGCAAAGAAAGCAAUAUAUAAAACAUUAACAUUAAAUCAAUGCUUCGUAGAGAAACGUCUUAGGCUUAGUUGAGCUUUAUCUUAAAUCAUAUUUAAAAGCUCGCACUGUAUACAAAUCAAUAUUGAUGCCAUCUAAAAUACACCACUAUCAUCUGCACUGAUAAAUGCCAGUUUCCAGCCAGGACAAAGUGACUUCUUGGAACAAUUUCAAGGACUUCCAAUCUCUUCUGGCAUCUCAGCAACUGAAGCCAAAGCUGUACUCCUGUGCCAACUUCAGGCUCUGCUCCAGUGCAUUAAAACCGGUUUGAGAUGCCAUCGUGUUCGUCAUACAAGGAGCAGAAGUAAGGUCACCGGAAUCAUUUUUUCACCUGAUUUCCAGGCUUUUAACUUAAGCAGAUUGAUACGUUUUCAAGGGGUUGUGGCUUCCGCAGAGCACACGUGGGAAAAAUUUGCCAACUUGGAUGAGAAAGGGAGUAGAUAUCCAUGUCUUCAGCAUCCCAGCCAGCAUGGCCAUCGCUCCAGCACUAAAGUAGUCACUGUCCUGGACUGAGCUGUUCUGCUUUAUGGUCUUCAAUACCCCACAAGCUUUCACCAAAGAAAAGUGACAGUGCACUGAGGAAGUGCAGUUUGGCCUGAAAAUGCAAAAGAAUCAAACUGCAGUGUCUUGUGAAACCGUGCAACAACAAUGGAAGAAUUUCUCACCCAAAAUUCGAAUACCCAUGAAACACUUUCUGGCCAUCCCUGUUUCCACAGCCAUAAAGAGGCCCAACAUGGACUGUGAAGCAUCUGUCCUUGAGUUUAGUAGAGGAGCACAAGCCUAUGCCAACAACCUCUUCCAGCAGUGAGCAUCUGCUCAGAUACACAUAAAAUGCACACUGCUGUCAUUCACCUGUUUUGUUGCCUAAAGGUCUUCUGAAAACUGAAAUCAAAAGCAGCGUUGGUAAAUAGGGAAUAAAAAGCUUGGUGUCCUUAACUCUCCAGACAAGCUCGAGCUCUGUAAUGGUAUCUCCUAUCACUCCCAGCAAAAAUACACUGAAAAUAAAUUGACACUUUCCUGUAGGCUGGUGCAAUUGUGAAACUAUAGCUCAUAGUCAUUUAUUUCUGCUUUGCUUUGAGUCAUUCAUUUGGCACAGCAGACCAAGCUAUUAAAUUAGUGUAUUUUUUCUUCUAUAAAGGCACCCUGAGAUGUCUUGAUAUGAUAAUGCUUCCUGAAACCAAUGCUAAUUGAUAACUGUUCCUUAGUUUCAUCAGAAGCCUGGGGUCAUGCUCAGUUAGCACCAAGACAGGACACUUGAGGAUGGUUUCACCUUUCCAUGCUUUCCAUACAGUCACAAAUGAACACCAAAAUAUUUCAUUAGAAGAAACUCCUCCUGGAACAUUGUGAUCAACAUUUGAUUUUUGAUCAUUGCAAAACUUAAACAUUAUUUUCCCCACAAUCUGAAGUCGGUUGUUGUGGAGUCUCAGAGUUGGACCUGCUGUUGUUAACAGCUCUACUUUGUGAUCAAAUUGUCAAGCUAUAUAUAAGAUGGCACUGGACAAAUGUUCUUCCUGAGGCAGAUCUAAUGGUAAACAGAGAGAUCCUAACAAUCACAAGAGAUUUAUCUCUAUGACACACUUAAUUCAAGUUCUUCACAUGUUUUUCCACAAACCGUGGGCUUCAUUUUCUUAUCACUCUGUCUACUCCUUUCUUCCCCACUUAAUACAUAAAGCUGACAUUUAAACUGCCCGGCAGUCCACGCCACCUACUGGAUUUUUGUCUAUCUGAGGUCACUGAAGGAGCCAAGACCAGAAUGUUUACCUGCAGUGCUCACUCAGAAGGGCUACGAAAUGGUCAGAAACGCAUCACCACCAGGAGAAAGCAGCAAACCCAACCUAGCAGACUCUCCUCAUGUGGGAAAGACAACCAAGAAGACAUUCCCUUCAAGAAGAAGUUUUCUUCUGCAGAAAUAGUGUCACCAACUGUCCUGAUCACAAGAAGUUUAAACAACACUCCACCUCAUCCAACACACCAAUUUCAUGGCAAAGCAGGAUUCUUGCGGAAGCACUGACGAAGGACUGAAGGAAGCAGAGAAAACUGAGAAGAAGAAUGCCUGCACUGCCAGAAGUCGGUCUCAAGUCAGUGGGGACUGGAAGAAGUUUCAAUAAACUGAAAAUGACAGGAGCCACCAGCACAAACCAACUGGAGCAGGAAGUUGGAGAAUCACAUCACUGAUGAGCUUUUCUGCAAGAGUCUUUCAAAACAAACAUCAGCACAACCAAAAACACUAUUCAGAAUCAUAUUUUAGAGGACCAACUGCCUUAGGUAUGUGACAUCUUAGACUUCAAGUUUUUGACAUCACCUGACGGUGUCCCACAGCUCCUGAGUUUGUUGGUUUUAGCUUAGGAGUAUUGCUCCAGAAUAUGAAUCAGACUAUUGGCUGGAUGUCUUUAUACAGUCAAGGUUGCUUUGCUGUAUGUGUUCAUUGUGAAUCUGACCCAUCCUUUCUGAAUACAUGCCAUUGUACUGGGUCAGCAACACGUCUGUCCCUUUAUACUUCCUGUGAUUGUCCAUGAGACAGAACAACAGAGAGUAGUUUUCCCUCCAAAGAAUACUUCAAGUAAAAGACUGCAAGGAAGCUUUUAUUGAUUAUUGCCAUAAAAAAAACUUCAGUGACUUCAUAAAGAUGAUUCAGAAUUUAGACAGAUGACUUCAUGUCACUACCAAAUUCUGCAUGAACAGGAAUUCAAAAUAUCUCCUCUGUGUGAUCACACUAAAAAAUUAUGCUCCAAACUUAUCCAAACUUUUCAGCACUCGGGUACUCUUUUCUGGUUGUUCACCUCUUCUUGUACUUUUCUAGGUAAUUUUUCAUUCUGCUGUAUGCAUCUUCUGCUAACUGUUCAAGUGCUUCUCUGGAGGCUACGUAAUAGAGACACAAAGCCUCUAAGGCUAACGGGAGUCACAGUGAGAUGACCUGAGGGAUACGUAUCGGCUGCAUAAUGGAAUGAUGAUUCCAUCCGUCAGGACACCCUCAGGCAGGAUAACCUCUGUCUUUGUCCAAGUCCUGCCCAACAGCUUAGUACCAAUGUAGAAUGAAACAUCAGGACUGACUUGAGGUUUAGCUGUACGUAAUCCACCCGGAUCAGUCUCCUGGUGAAGCUGAGAUCCCAGGGCCAAACUGUCUCCUAGGUUUCAGGCUUCUGGUGUCUCAUCGAAUUCUGGUGGCCGUGGCCCAGAGCCUGCUGACAGAGCCCACUAGAAUGGCCUUUUCACUCUGAGCUGCUCAGCAGGCCUGGGAAAGCUGACUUACUGCUGCCUCUGACCUAGUACAAAUUGACAGGCAGCUCACAUAUGGCUCACAUCAGCCUACGAUCCAUAUAGCCAGAAUCUAAAGCUAGCCCCAGGUGUUAAAACCUGCGCCAUUUGGGACAGGAAUGAUGAUGGAGUUUAAAGGCAAUGGGAAUAGAAUCAGGAAAUUUAUUUUCCAAGCAGAGUAUUUCACCUGGUCAAAUGUUUAUUCCCUAAGCAUAGUUUUGCUAAAAAUCACAUAAUAAUGUUUUAAGUUUACAUUACCAGCUGUCUGCCUGUAGGCUGGACGUGCCUGCUCUAAAGCAUGGAUCCGGCAUGGAUGAGUUUCCCUUCUGCAUAUUAUCUACUUCACAGCUUUUGCAUAAGGCUCCUUUAAAGCUUAGCAAAUAUUCAUAGCUGGAAAUAUUACAUGCGCAAAGUAAUUAUGGUAAUACUCUUCAUUUGUUGAAAGCAGACCAUUCAUUAGCUACCCAAAAAAGCUGAAUGGCUCAAGAAACCGCAGCCAACGGUAGCAGCAAAGCCACCAGGUAGUAAAGAGAUGUGGUGCCUCAACGAAGACUGAAGCUUUCUCAUUUACACAGUUACUGUUGCAAAAACUUCACUACUUCUUCCUAUUUAGAUGCCAAGAAUGAAGCAAACAGAAGAAUAAAGAGUAAGCAAACACAUUACAACCAUUAGAACAACAUAUUUUGUUUAUCCUGCUGCUAUGCAAUAAAGCCUAUAAUUUAUCUAAUACAAAUACAUUAUUUUUCAUGAGGGUAACUCACAAGCAUGGCAAAUUUAAUGUUCCAGUAAAACAGUUCAGUUGGAAGGGACCUAAAAGAUCACUGAAUGCACCUGCCUGAACAUUAACCACGUCCUCUCUGUUCCCACAGUUACGUUGGAAUCACUUGGAAUCAGUGAAAAACACAUCAUUUGCUAUCAGAGACCACAAAGCUGGACAGUGAUAUAAAGUAAGCUGCCCAGAGCCGGUAGCAUAGCUGGGAACAUGGUUCAGAGUCCACAUCUACAGACCUAUUCACUGUAUUUGGCAGGCAGGAAGAGGCAAAAUGUCACCAAAGUUGGGGUGGAGCCCCCAAGUAAGCUUUAUUGUGUACAUUCUCCCAUUCUCUGUCCAUUCUGUGUUUUACCAUCCUCACAAAGCACCCACAGCUUGCCACAGUUGAAGACUGGAUGAUGGGCUGCUUCAUCUUAAGUCAGUUUGAUGUUGCCCCCAUGUGCUUCUAUCCCUUGAAAAUCAUCAAGACGUAACUGAUUUUGAUCCUGCAGAGGUUAGUCAGAUUGCUGGGCCUGAGGAUGGACCGAUGAUCAUCUGAGGGGGACUUCAGUCACAUUACUGUUUGGAUGUUCUAAGUCACCAGUCUAACCUAAUGCAUGCCUCACGAAGCAAACAAGCAAGCCUGGAUGCUUUCUGAAUUGAGAGCCAUGAUCGCUGAUAGUCACUGGACAUAAAAUAAAAAGCAUUCAACACUAGAACAGCAUAAGCUAUUGAGAUGAAGAAAAAUCAAAUCUAACCCUGGAGGAACUGCUUGGCUUAUUCGAUUAACUUACGCUCUGUUUUAUUUAAGGUUCACACUUAAAAACCUAGCGUACAAAUGCGCUACAACCCUUCAUGCAGCGCAGCUCAGUUCAUUUUUCCUGGAAAGCUUACUUUGAGACUUCACAGCUCAUUUUCUAAGUAUGCAUUUAGAUAGUUAAUAUUAAUAGGAACUCAACUGGUUCAUGCAAGAUGGGCUGUUUCACUUAUUUUCAGGCAAUCUUCAAACUCUUUCCUGGGAUAUAUAUAACAUCUUUGCCACCAUGCAGAUACUACCAUGAGGUAUAAUUACAUACAAGUGUGGACAAUCAGGAAAUUACGAGUCAAAUCCAUGUCAUCACUCAUUUACUCCAGUGGGUCCUUCUAGCUGCAGCAACGCCUGUCUCAGAUCGACGAUGAGCAAAUGCACAUCCACACCACUACCCCAGUACCAGUUUGUCUAUUCAAAGUAUAGAGAAUGGAUGCAUAUAUGCACAUGUGUGAGAGCUGAGGUGUUAUCUAAGAAACCUGUAUUUAAGCGUUAGAUUUAUCAGUUAGUAAAUACAUUAGGUAUUUACAGGUGGUGAUGCAAUCAGCCUUACUACAGAAAAUAACAAAAACUUUAUCGUAUCAAUCCCUAUCCCUUUCAUUACAAAAAGGGGGCAAAUGGCAGUAGAUUUCAACAAAUGUGUGAACGACUGCAAAGUAUUUCACAGAACCUCCAAAUAACUGUAAGGCGAACACUGAUCACCAGUAUCCUUGAUAUUUGCUUUCCUGACAGACAUCAGUGUUCCUUCUCCUACACGCCCCAGUAUUCUUUCAUUCCCUCAGAAACAAUAAAAUCCCUCUGCAUUUGGGCUAAAGCAUUUAGUUCAAAUGAAAAAUCACCUCCGUAAUAAAGCAAGCGUUACCCAGAUUUAAAAAAAAAAAAAAAAAAUCAAUUAAUCAGCAAGGGUUUUUAUUAGUUAAUCCUGUAACUAAUUAAAACUAUUGAUUGAUAACAGACAACACUGCAACAAAGUUAUCUCACUCCUAACCCAGCCAAACGAUCUUCCUGCUGCACGUACAGAUAGUACGCGAUGACCUCCUUGCAGAUAAGUCUCUAACUGCUGACCAAUCUAUUUUCACUUAGUGGUAGUAUUUCCCCAGCUCAGCAGUUCUGACAGAUCACAGCUUUGAGCCUGAGACAUUUGUGAACCAUCUCUUUGUUAGUCACAAAUAGCAAAGUGCACAUCGAUAAAUCACACCCUUUGUCUCCUUCUUUUCCCUCCCCCACACAGUUGCUGCUUUUUCUCGUCAGACCAAUCCAGGCUGAGACCUCCUGAAUCAUCUCUAUUAACCUGUGAGAAAUUCUAAAGAACAGAUCCUAUGUAAUAGAAAGUGACCUCAAAUAAUUAACAUUUUUGAAGAGGUUUUUACCUGAAUUCUAUCCAAGGCACAUAAAUCAUCAUUCAUCUUUUCUCUUCCUGGCAGUGCACUUAGACAUAGCAAGUCUUAAAAUGAUGACAUCACUGUCCCGUGAUCCUUCAUUAUAAGUAAUUAAAGCAGCAAUAUGCCUGUCCUCGUGCACGAGUCAUCAAGGAGACUUACUCAUAUGAAAUCUCAGGCACGGUGCACCUGAGGUGAAUCGAGAGAGCACAGGACUCCAUGUUUUUGGUGAACUGCUGAUAGUUUUGUGUGAAUUUACUGCUGCUGAGAGAGUAGCGCAUGUUAACAUGCAGGGAGACUAAAUUCUGCCAUUAAUCCACGAGACAGGCACUGCAGAGGAAGUGUUAGUUUCACUGUUCACGUACACUGCUAAGGCCUUGACGAGGAAGAAAGGAAGGAAGGAAGGAUUUAGUUUAGUCUGUGCCUCUCCACAUUUUGGCCUCUCCCAUAAACACACUGGCAAAGCUAUCCCUGCUAACAUCUGGAUAGUAUGUUCAGUGACAGGGACAGUACCCAACAGGAACUACAGUAGACUCUCAAGUCCCUUUUUGCAAAGACUAAUGAUGAUGGAAACUUUCUUACCCUGCUCCAACAAGCUUUGGAGAAAAUCAGUAAGCUAGGUUUGGCUACUCAGCAGCAGAAUACAAAUCCAAUGGUUUGGUCAUUACUGGAUUUUUUUACCUACCACUGCAGGUUGCGCUGGAGGACUGGCUAUUCACAGCGUGAUUCUCUAAAGUAACACUUCUAUCUCUUUGGCUGUUCAGAAACAGCUGCCCCACACCUGGCUUUAUCUCUCAAGCCCAUUCCCUCCUGCCUCCACAUGUUCUUACAACAGUACUACACCACACCUCUGUCAAAAACUGGUCGAAUAUCACAGCUGAGAGCACAGCAUUAAAAAGGAGAAGUCUCACCGAAAUUAAAUGUCAGUUAAACUUUGCUUUGCAUCGCUAAGCAUCAGUCUUCAUUUUCACCCUAUCUCCAGCAGAGCAGUGCAAACACAGACAAAUCUGAGCUCAUGGGGAGGAUCCAGUAGCAGGGAUCAUGGUUCUGAACAGUCAAAUUUGACAAGGUCCAUGGUAUGCUUUAAGGAAAACCGUUCCACCUGAAAACUAUGAGGGGAAGGAGAAGGGGAAGGAGAAGACAUUCCAUAUGAAACUUGAUGAGAUCCACACUGACUUUCUCUUGUCGGUCUUUCAAGACAUGUGCCAUUAUAACAUUUCCUUCUACACACAUUCUUCUACAAAGGUUACCUGGUUUAUCCCCUGUUCCAGAGAAGGACCUCUCACAAUUGUCACUGCUAACUGAUAUUUGUCUAUUCCUUAAAAACAAGCAGAAAUUCCAGAGCUCAACUAGGAUUCCUGUUCCAGUGCUUCGUAUCCUUAACUUCAAAGGACACAAGAAGUUAGAAAAUGUUUUUCCUUAUACCAAACUUUCCUUGCUGCAACCUAAGUCCAUUUUGCUUUAGCAACUGUAUUCCCACCUAUCCACAACGGGAAAACAGUGUAGUAUCCCUCUCUCCCAUCUAUCACUGCUUCAAAAUUCUGUUGUUAUUUUGAUGUUGAUCUUGCAGAUGUGCAAUCCAGAAAUAUAUUACAUACAUAUAA